AAAAAAAAACUCAAUAUAGUUGCCAGCUCAGCUCCAGCAGCAAGGACAGAGAAAAAGCAGGUCCUGAUCUGCAGUGAUGCCACUUCCCUGGAGAGGAGUGAGAAGAGGCAAGCGCUGCAGAAUGAGAUUCACAACACCCUGCUCGUGGUACAAUGAAGAAUAAGCAAAUUAAAGCUACGCUAAGAAUAAGCCAACACCAAAAUAAAGCACGUUUCAAUCUCAGUCCUCUCCAGCAGCCCAGAUCUUGGCCGUCAUGGAGAAGCAGCUUGACAGCUGCUCAAUGAGGGACACGGUUCGUGGGCAUGGAUGGUUGGGGUGGAUCUUGGUGAUCUUUGAGAUCUUUUGCAGCCUUAAUGAUUCUAGAAGUCUAUGAUUCUAACACUGUUCCUUUCAGUGUGAAAGCCAGACUGGUCUGUGUAGCACCAAAAAAACAAAGUCUGGGUUCAGAGCUCUGUGCUCCUGUAGCUGCCCCUUGGCCAGGAGCCUUCUUAGCUGAUUGGAUUUCAAACCAGGAGGGGACCUCCACCAAACCUGCCGGUAUGACCCAAAGGUCCUGGAUGUGGCACAUUUCUGCAGAGACUUCUGAAUGCAAACAGCAGAGGCAGCUUUGUUGCAGCAGGAGAGGGUGCACGUGUGGCUGCUGGAAGGAGCCCAGUGCUUGGAGAAAGCUCUGGAGGCCUGUAGGUGGAGUCCAGCUGCGUCAACCGCUCUGCAAGCAAAGCAUUGCUUCACAAGAGGACAGUGAGUAAAGCCUCUCUUUGAUCCACCUCCACACUUUAUUAACUGCCUGUGAAAGGAGAUUAUUCCGCCCUAAAAAAAAAAAAAAAACCAACCUAAAAAAAAUAAAAAAACAUGGAGGAAAUAAAACAAUCAGCUGAGGCAAAUGAAGUGAGCAAUUACUCUGGAACCAUUCAGACCAGAUUGACUUUCACUUCUGGUCAUACCAGCUUGAUGUCGACGCAAGGAUCUCCAGCACCCACAAGGAUGCUUCAUGAUGCUGAAGAAGGUUUUCACACCACUUCCCUGUCCAAGGAAGAAGGUUCGUCAUCCAUUAUUUAUGAAAUCAUCAUGUUGUCUCUCUGUGGAGGUCUGCUGCUGCUCUUUGUGAUCAGUGCCAUCAUGAGAAUUGUCCAGAGCCACUGCACUCCACAUUACUCUUCCAAAGACCUCAGUGCAUCCACAGUUGCUCUGGAAAACACUGCAAUGACCAACAUCUGCUCUGAUAAGAUUUCAACAGUGAAUUUGACUGGCCCGGUGUGUCUGAGUUACAUUUCCAGCAGGCCCACUGGAGAGGAAGCAGGAGGAAAGACCUCUGACCAGUGAGUGUUCCCCCAAAAGAGAUUUGGCAUCAUUCAUUUCUUCUUCAAUCAUCAAAGUGACAAUUUGAGCAACUCAACUGAGGUGGAAACCAAACUUUGCUUCGUAGAAUUAUGGAAUCACAGAAUCAUGAAGGUUGGAAGUCCUUUAAGAUCCCCAAGCCCAACCCUAACCAUCCCACCAUGGCCACUGGCCACAUCUCCAACUGCCACAUCUCCAUGGUUCUCAAACACCUCCAGGGAUGGGGACUCCACCACCUCCCUGCACAGCCUGUGCCACUGCAUCACCUCUCUUUCAGAGAAUAAAUUUUUAUAUCUCUUACGGUUAUGGCAAAAUUCCCUUUCUUACCUCCAGUGUGGAAUUCCAACACAUGGAGACCAGGAUAAUGUGUAUGUAAGGAACAAACAACAAACAGCAAUUAGAGAUUGUUAUGCUUAGGGAGCCAAGCACAAUAAACUUAGGAAAUAGUACCAAUAAAUGGAUGCGUGGGUUCUGAAUUUUGUAUUUGUUUUACUUUUGUUCUUUGCUCACCAGGAAUAAAGCAACACAAUCCUGACAACAUGCAUGCUACAAGCUUUGGUCUCAGUGGAGGAGAUGAGGAUGGUUUAGCCCCAGGAAAUGUGUUCUGUUUGGUGAUAUUGAACAACAAACCAAUGCAAAAUGUAAAAGAAUGAAAAAUAGCAGGGUCUUCUCAAUACUUUCCCAGCCUCAGCUGUAAUCCUUUGGCAUCUGUAGGGUGGUUUUGAACUCUUCCUUAUGGUGAUGGACUGCACUCUGCAGAUGACAUCGGAGGAAUUUACUGCAAUGAAACAUAACACCUUAAUGAGGAAAAGAACUGCUUUCCUCCUAAUGCAGCAGCUUUGUCUGGUUUUCCCUCCACCACGCAGUGUGAUGGCUCAGAUCUAAGACUCGUGUGGUUGCUGAAUUGCCAUGAUGGAUUUUGGAAAGGGGAAAAUCAUGUCAACUUUAUGUAAGCAUUACAGCAGCUGCUCUUUGGAAAUACAUCUUAAUGAUGGGUAAAAAUAAUAAGCCAUAACUUAUAUACUUCUUUUAAAAAACUUUUUCUUUCUUUCUUUCUUUCUUUCUUUCUUUUCUUUUUUUUUUUUCCCCAGCACUGUAAUUCUAAACAUUAGUUCUUCAUUGAGGUCAGCAGCUAGAGAUAGACAGGAUGCUGUAAGGAGGUAGCCCAGGAAAUUCCACUUGAUGCUGGUGGCUACCAGACAUGCCUGUCAGUGACCUCUCGUAUCUGUCACUUAUGUUGGAAGGGACAUCACAGAGCCCCCACUGUGGGCUGGCUGCCCCCCCAGCUCAGCCUGUCCAGAGCUCAUCCUUGGCCUCAGGUACCUCCAGGGAUGGGGCACCCACAGUUCUGGGCAGCAGUGCCGGGGCUUCACCGUCCUCUGGGUAAAGAAUUUUCCCUUCACAUCAGACCUGAACCUGCCCUCCUUAGUUUAAACCCUUGUCUUAUCAAUAUCUGCUCAUGUAAACUGUUCUGUCUGUUAAGCUCCCUUUAAGUAUUGAUGGCUGCUGUGAGGUCUUCCUGGAGCCUUCUCUGGGCUGAACAAACCCAACUCCCUCAGCCUUCCUUAACAGCAGAAGUGCUCCAGCCCUCUGAGCACCUCUGUGGAUGCUCUGGACCUGCCCCAGCAGCUUCCACAUUUUUGCACUGGGAGCCCAGGCCUGGACACAGUACUAAUGCAUUAGUAAUGAUUAUUUAGUAGCAUAAAACUAUAUCACAGAAUCACAAAAUCAUACAAUCAAGUUGGAUGGGACCCACAGGGAUCAUCACUGAGUCCAUCCCCAGAUCCCAAACAGCACUGCCCAAAUCCAAACCUCAUAACUGAGAGCAGUGUCCUGACUGUGAGUCUUACAUGGUGAUGAUGCCAAUUGCUGUGCCCUAAGCAAGGCACAGUUCUACUGCUGCCCAGGGAAGGAGCUCACGGUACGUUUGAUUGCUGAGAGAUAGAACUGGAGUCACGCAAUGCUCCAUCAGCUGCAAUGAGAGAUGUGAGCAACAAAAGCAAGUGUUCACGCACAGAGAGCAGCGCAUUACAAGGAAUUUAAAGCAAUUAAAAAAGUCAAUUUCCCCCAAUUUCUCUCUGCACUC
rnacentral:lncRNA from 1 species